GAGCUUGUCUUUUAGACCAUUAUCUUAACAAUUAGGAUAAUUUUCUGCGCUUCGGCUCGUUUUAUCUCCUCAGGUUACCAGCGAACUCUGAGUUUUCAUAUUGCCGGUAUAUUUACAAUCAUACUCAUUUGGAUUUGGUUUUGAUCACUACUGCUUUAGGCACAUACAAAAUACCAAGUGAAAUUCAUACGAAAUGAAGAGAGGAUCAUUCGAAAUCAGCUAGUUUAGUAUAUUAACAGUCUUUGCAAAUGAGUUCGGAUCACCAUCAAAACAACCAGCAGUCGAUGCCUGCGGAGAAACGAAAACCCGCUCUCAACGCUGAUUGACAGUAAAUCCUCCAAUUGAGUACAGCAACGGCCCAAACUUAUAUCUUCUGCAAGAAUGCUCUCUGCCUGCAAUGCAAUUCCGAACUCAUAUCUCGAAUCUCCAACUUCCGGUGAGAUGUGGUGGUGGCCAUGUUGGCAGCUGAAAGAGGAAGGCUUCUGCGUUACAGAAAAAGAGACGGAUAAAUGAGAGAUUUUUCAAUGUGAUCGGAAGACGGGAUGAUACGUAAUGUGUUACUAUACAAAUAGUAGGAUGUGUGUGUAUGGUCCCUUAACUUUAACUCAAUUAGAGCAAUGGUCCCUUAAGUGUAAUUACACACUUUGAUCAGUUGAGAGACUCUAAUUAUAUAAAUGGUCAUUCUAACA